rnacentral:rRNA from 1 species
AAAUUAAAGGGCCGCGGUAUUUUGACCGUGCAAAGGUAGCAUAAUCAUUAGUCUUUUAAUUGAAGGCUGGAAUGAAUGGUUUGACGAAAUAUCAGCUGUCUCCUUGUAAUUAAUGGAAUUUAACUUUUGAGUCAAAAGGCUUAAAUGAUUAUAAAAGACGAGAAGACCCUAUAGAUCUUUAUACAGGAAUGAGUUUAUUUUCUUUAGAAGUAGAAUUGGUGAGCUUAUUUUUGUAAUUUGUUGGGGUGACAUGAAGAUAAAAUUAACUCUUUAUUGUUAGUACAUUGAUUUAUGGAUGAUUGAUCCACUAUUAGUGAUUAUAAGAUGAAGUUACCUUAGGGAUAACAGCGUAAUUUUUUUUGAGAGUUCUUAUCGACAAGAAAGAUUGCGACCUCGA